rnacentral:lncRNA from 1 species
UCUAUUGGAAUGUCUGGGAUUCAAACUCUCUGGGUACAUAGAAGAGUAGUAAUAAAGGCAACAAUAAAGAGUGAUACAAUAAUUUACUUUCUUUUGACCUUCAAUUUUUACUAAAAUUAUGGUAACCUUUUUCACUGUCAAAAGAAGCAAGUAAUUCAGCUAAUACUAAAUCUAACUUAAAAUACUAAUUGUAAUUAAUUGGCUAGACUGCUCACUCGAAUAAUUUUUUGCAGCCUUCAACCACAAAUCGAGCUUCCUUCAUGGCCGCUCUCAAUUUAGUUCGACUGGCAAGUCCUUCAUGGCUGCUCUCACCUUUUUAGCUGGUGGCCAUCAGCUAGAUGCACAUAGCACACUGAAAAAAGGUAACCAGAGGAGAUAUCUCAGUGAUGAACUGAACAUGCUAUAACCAUGAAACCACAAAUAACUCACCAAUAGAUAACUUAUUUCUUAAGCUUCCUAUAAAGGGGAAAACUUACAUGUCAGUCCCAUACAUAUAGUCACAACAUGUAUGCAACAAAUGUACAUAUAUGAAAAGGUACGUAGAAGGAAAUACAUAGAACACGAUGGAACAAAAGAAAGCCAUUUUUUCACCUAAAAGUUAUUGUCAAAUGCAGCAAGAACAUGUGUGCAUUUUCUUGAAAUGUACAUAUAGGAAAAAGGCAAAAAAAUAUUACACAUUGCAGUGACACACAGUCAGUGAUCCUCUGGGCUAUUGCAUGAGUGGAGAAGCCAACAAACACGACAUAGAAGUCACUUAAAAGGCUAUCACCAUAUUAGCAUGUAGAUCAAAAGUAAUGAAUAGAUUGCAAUCUGUUGGGUGGAUGAGACGAGCUACACUUGCUGUCAUCUCGAACUGGCCAAUAAUGCUGAGUGGGAAUCAACACCCUUGAAAAGAAAUCGUAGUAUUUUGGUUUAAUCACAAGCUAUGAUAUAUACUUCUCACUAACUGGCCAUGUUGAUCCUUCAAUUUAGAUCUUGUACCUAUCACCCAACACAACAAUUUCAGUACCAACGACAGAACAAACAAGUCCCUACCUAACUUUUAAUGGAAGAAAACAAACCUAUGGGUGCAUAGACUGCCCAAAUAUGAUUUCUUGUAUCCUGCCUUGCUCUCUUUGAUCCAAUCCUAAAUGAGAAGGCAAAAGUAAACACUAUAAUCAGCCAUAGGCAUCAUCAAAAUUAUUUUCUUUGGGAAAAGGCUAUGUUACAGAUCGGAAGGAUUAGAAGAAUUCUAAAAGCAACAAGAUUUGACAAGAUAUAAUAGGAUUUUCUACUUGUGAAAAUAAAUGGAAUGUUAACACUCCCUUCAAGUAUAAAUACCUGUUUGUAGAUCAGUGUAUUUCAUUCUUGUUUACUGGAAACAUUACACUUGAUAAGCUCUUGCCUUAUAGUUGCGAUCUCUGGAUUCCCUUUCCAGUAAGCAUAAGGUUCUCUAUCUAUCCAUCUGACCCUCUUAUUUCUAGCAUCCAAAUCCUUCUGCAAUGCAUCCCACAACUUUAUAUUGAUCUAGGCCCUGUAAGUAUAAUCAACAAUAGGUAGACAAAGAACACAAUAGCCAUCUAACUAAAAAUGAUUAGCACUUCAUUUAAUGCACAAGUACUUUCCCGAUUCCAUCAUCCUACAUUCUUAAGAAAUUGAUCCCCACUACUAACAAUUCUCUCAACAUGCACACUAUCCACAUCACCAUCAUGCCACAUCUGCUUUCAAGGUCCUGCAUCAGCAUCAUUGCCACAUAAGCUUUCACGGUCCUGCAUUCUGCUUUCCUGCCGUGAAUGUGAUACUGUGAUUUAAUUUCUCCUCCAUACGCAUCCCUUCAUCUUCAUCUUCUCUAACUGAGCUAUACAUGGGUCAUGCUCAUAAAUAAAUAUCCAUCCGCUGUAGAAUGGAUGAACGGUGGAGUCCCAUCUCCCUCCAAUACAUGCUCAAGCGUCCACCCAAUGGAGAUCUUGCCCCUUCCUCCAUGGAUAUCUCAGCUGUGCGACCACCACUGCACCACCUAUCAUACGAGGAGGAGCAGCCCAACAUAGACUCUCCAUCUCUGCAGUCCUUGAGCGAGACAUGCUAGAACAUGCCGCCGCUGGCAAUCCCCGCCCUAACUCCUCGAUAUCUAAUAACUGGACGGCGUUCGAGCAUCAACUCGCCGGCAGCAGAACCAACCACGCUGUGCCCUGAAGAUGAAUGCCAGGUAUAUUCUACACCACGGAUGAAAACACCCAUCAUCUCUCCAAUUAAAAUCAUGCAGGCUCCAUAAUAGAUGAGGUGGCAGCUACAAGAACGUUGCCCCACUCCACCAUGUUGGACGACCCAGCCGCAACGCCUUCUCCUAGGUCCGGCAGUGCUGCCUUUGGGCUUCUCCAACAGUCCGUCCUUUUGUUUCAGAGAAGAUCAGAAGUGGGAUUUCAGGCCAACGGGCAGACGGGUGCCUGUGGUGUGGAGUGGACUAUGGAGGACGUCACGAUGCCACCAAGUUCUAGGGGCGCAUCCACACAGCAUGUGAGCAAGAUCAUGAAGCCGUCGUAGUUGUCGAUUUGGUCGAUGGCGGGGGAUGGGUCGCGGGCGUUGUCGGUGUCAAAACUGGCGGAUCUCGGGUAGGGGGUCCCGAACUGUGCGUCUAGGCCGGAUGGUAACAGGAGGCAAGGAACACGAUGUUUUACCCAGGUUCGGGCCCUCUUGAUGGAGGUAAAACCCUACGUCCUGCUUGAUUAAUAUUGAUGAUAUGGGUAGUACAAGAGUAGAUCUACCACGAGAUCAAGGAGGCUAAACCCUAGAAGCUAGCCUAUGGUAUGAUUGUUGUGUAUGGAGUUGAUUGCCUACGGACUACAACCCUCCAGUUUAUAUAGACACCGGAGAGGGUUAGGGUUACACAAAGUCAGUUACAAUGGUAGGAGAUCUUGAUCCGCAUCACCAAGCUUGCCUUCCACGCCAAGGAAAGUCCCAUCCGGACACGGGAUGAAGUCUUCAAUCUUGUAUCUUCAUAGUCCUGGAGUCCGACUGAAGGUAUAGUCCGGCUAUCCGGACACCCCCCAAUCCAGGACUCCCUCAGUAGCCCCCGAACCAGGCUUCAAUGACGACGAGUCCGGCGCGCAGAUUGUCUUCGGCAUUGCAAGGCGGGUUCUUCUCCAAAUUCCGUGUACCUGCUGAAUAAUGUCCGAUUUUCGUAAUGUAGCGCACCUUGGCUUCCACGGCCAACAAUGGCCGUCUUCCACGUGUUAAACGAAUGCGAAAAGUCUGGGUGUUUUUACAUUCACACCCCUAGCCGCAUAAACGAGCCACCUAUUUAAUGGGAUGGGGAUUCAGAUCAAAACCACACCUUCUCCUCUCCGCGAGUAAUCAUCAGAGCGCCUCCAGCAAAGGUCCAUUCCAACAUGGCCAGCCGUCGCAGCUCCUCCUCUCGCCCUUCUAGUCCUAAACCUGGAGAUUGGGAGAGGUGCUCCAUCCCGCACGUCGAGCUAGUGUCGCUUCAGGCCAAGGGAUUUCUCCCUCAGGCCUAUAUGGUCCCGGUCCGAGCCGGACUCACCACCUAUAAUGGCGGAGAGCAAGCGGAGAGCACCCCCAAUCCCUCCAAAGGAGAGCGGGUGUGCCUCAUCCCUUAUCUAGUAAGAGGACUUGGAUUUCCAAUUCAUCCAUUUCUCCGUGGGAUUCUGGAGUUCUACAGCCUCCAGCUGCACAAUCUCACGCCCGCCUCUAUAUUGCAUAUCGCGGGCUUCGUCGCCCUUUGCGAGCUAUUCUUGGGUGUUGAGGCUCACUUCGCUCUAUGGAAGAGGUUAUUCUGCCUGGUGCCCCGCUCUCAAGAGGGGUCUAUAUAUCAAGUGGGCGGAGCCGAAGUGUGGCGUAUCGCCGGGACCGGAUAUCUAUACGGAACCCCAAAGAAGGCGUCCGAGGACUGGCCUUCGGAAUGGUUUUAUAUAGAUGAUGUCCCGCUGCCGGAUCCUAUCCGGGCCGGUCUCCCCGAAUUCAACAGUGCUCCCUUAAAGAAACGCCUAAGCUGGCGUCCGCGGAGCUCUCAGAGAGAAGGCGACAGGGACGUCCUUCACCUGAUGGGUCGGAUAAGACUAUUGGCUCAUUCCGGACUAACCAUGAUUGAAGUCAUGGUCGCAUGCAUUAUGCGGGGGGUGCAGCCGCUUCAAUAUAGAGACCACCCCAUGUGGGAUUUUAACGGGGAGGAUGACGCCACCCGUUACGGUCGUAAGGGGGCAGCCUCAGCUGCCACUCUAGUAAAGAUCUUAUCCUCUUUGUACAAGGGAGAAGAGGAGGAAUUCCUCCGCGUCAACCCGCACGGCGGAUUUUCUAUGUACAACCCUUCGAGUUGGGUAAGUGGACAAUUGUGCUUGCCCAUCCGUUUUAUAUUCCCAUGAUUAAAUAUGUAGUCUUCCGAUUUCAACGUAGGAACUGCGUCAGGAAGUAAAGGAUAUAAACAGCCGUCCGCCACAGCCCAAGGAUCCAGAACGGUCCCUCGAUCCGGACUCCGAAGAGGAUCCGGACAUAUCGGUGGAGCUGAUUGACGGGGUGUUUCAUCAGCUAAGCAAGGACAAUACCUUGGUGGCCAUUACGGCUGAUUACCCAGGGUUAAUUCCGGCCUCCCAGGUAACAGAGAGCGGAGUCUCAUCCCCUUGAGAAGGAAUCCAUUCUCACGCAUUUCAGUUUUCCUGACAACGGCCGUGUUUUGCAGGGGAGGUUUCCGAGGCGGGAGGCCGAACCUGCGGCGGCUAGCCAACGAGGGGCCGCAGGGCCCCGUGGGGUAAAAAGGAAUGUAGUCCGGACUGAGACGCCGGCGCAAAGGUAUAGCGCACCCUCUUUUUCCCUGGUGUUAUUCCUUCAGGGCAUAUUAACGUUCGUGCUGUCUUCAGGACGAAGAGACCUCACCGGACUACAUCCGGAGAGGUUGCCAAUCGCGCCCCCACCAGCCAGGCUCCAACACCUGGCCCGGAAGCAGAAGCGAACACAAGGUGCGCACCGGACGCUCCUCCGACAAAGGAUGCGGACAGGCUGUCUGCCACCAAUUCCGAGGUGGAGAGUGCCAUGAACCACAGGCGUCGCCGGACAGUUCUUCGCGACGCUUGUUUCUCCCAAGAGGCAUUAGAUGCCUUCAAUUCGGGAGAUGCGUAUCUCCGUGCCGCUCAAAAUGGUUUAGCCAGAGCCACGGAGCAAUAUGUAAAAUACAUACAGGUAAGAAAAUUUUGGUAAAUAUAUAUAUACCAGUAGCCCCCGAGACUUGAAACAGUUAGGGUAACUGAUUUAAGGAUCAUUUGUUAUGCAGGUUCUUACAGAGAAGAAUACUGUACUGUCCCAGGAGCUGGAAGAGUGCAAAGCCCAACUGGAGGCCGCACUAGCCGCGGCAGGGGAGCCCAAAGAGACCCCCUCUGGUAAGAUACACUUCGAAAGAUUAGUAUCUUGCGAAGUGCGGCGUGGGUGUAAAUCUGACAAAUCAUAUUGCAGAUGGCGCCGGACUAGAUCCGGAGAGGCAACAACUCUUGCGCCGGCUAAAGGCGGGUGAGAGUAUGUUGACAAGGGUGAGGCGGGAGAAGAAUGAUCUUCAGGAUGCCAACACCAAGCUGGACGUUGAACUUAAAGAUGUUCGUGGCCAGCUGUCGGACUCUACUAAGGAGAAUCAGCGGCUUCGACGCGGCAUAUUUAGUAAGUGCUUAAGCGAAUCUUUGAAAGAAAAGAGUUCAGCGAGGAAGUCGACUAACAAAGUAAUGUCUGUAGGUAUGCUAACGGGUCGUCCUGCAGAGGAGAUGCCUGGUUCUAUGGGUGACCUUCUUCCCGAGCUCUCGCAACUGCACGAGCGAGUUCGGCAGGCGAUGCGAGGCGUUGCCCGAGCCUUAUGGCCUUCCCACUCCAUGCCCGAGGGCCUUGGAGAGCUUUCGGAGAAGCUUAAGGGAGCUCGGCGGCGCUUCCUGUUAUGGAAGAUAUCGGCCUGCCGACAAGGCGCUAGGGAGGCCUGGGCCAUGGUGAAGACGCGGUACACGAAGUCUGACCCAAACCACAUGGCCGAGGUCGGACCUGUGGGGCCUGACGGGAAGGAGAUUCCUGUAAGCUUAGUGUACGGCCAAGUAGAAUUGGCCGCAAAGUAUUCCCAGCAGGACUGUAAGUUAGACAGCCUGUUAGAUGGUAUUGAAGAGGAAUACAAUCAGUCAGAGUGACUAUGUAAUUUUUAAUUGACAUGUGUAAUGCCUUCUAGCCGGAUUGUAGAUCGUUUGUCGUUGCCGACCUUUUCGCUUCAACCUCAGGACCUGACGGUCCGGGGUGUGUCCGAAUACCCUACCGGUUAUGUAAGAACCGGGGUAUGCAUGGAGACCAGGCGUAGGGGUCAUUAGUGCUUUAUCAGACAAGUGCCCAACUAGUUAUGUUAUAUUACAUGGUUAGUAAGAAACAUCUUCCAGAGAGAAUAGUUCCGUUAGGGGUUCCUUUCUCUGGGAGGGAUGCCCUAAAGUGCAUGUCCGGACUGCAAACGCAGGAAAAUCAUCUGGGGGCAUAUAUAUAAAUAAGUAAAAAAGGUCAUCUUUUAGUUCACCGACCGAAUAUUCCCUUAAGAACGCUAGCUUUCGGCUUCACCCAGUCUGAGGUACACAUCCGGCUGAUCCGGCAGUAACAAUCGCAGAGGUGCUCCCUUUACCACCUAGCCGAACAAUCGGGAACGUAGGGGUAAGCACAGGAGCCAGGCAACCCAGCUUGGCCAAAACUUAAGUCAUAUCGAUGCAUAUAAUGGUGAAGAAAAGGUACAUGCGGAAGUUUGACACAUGUGGUGGGCGUGAAGCCCGUAUAAAUAAGCUUCUGUUAAAGAAGCCCCCAGGUUUAAUGAGCGCGAGUAGCACGUCACUUGAGGAGCCUUUAAGGGCUAUAAAAGAAAAGAGGGGAAGGAGAGAAAUGUAAGACAGAAAAUGUAAGAAAUGGACAGAGGAAGGAGACAAACGCAGAGUCCGGCGCUAGGCGUAGAAUCUUCAGAGACGGGCUGCGUUCCAUGGGUUCGGCUCGAGUCGGUUAUCCGACGCAUCUCGCAGGCGGUAUGCUCCACCAGUCAGGACUUGGUCGAUUAUGAAGGGACCUUCCCACUUGGGCUUCAGCUUGUCCUUUUUCUUGUCCGGCAGGCGUAGAACUAAUUCGCCAACGUUGUAGUUUUUGGCCCGCACUUCUCUGCUUUGAUAUCUUCGAGCCUGUUGUUGAUAGAAUGCGGAACGGGCUUUUGCCACGUCGCGCUCCUCCUCUAAGGCGUCCAAACCGUCCUGCCGAUCGAGCUUGGCUUCCCUUUCUUCGUACAUGCGCACUCGAGGUGAGUCAUGAAUUAUGUCACAGGGCAAGACUGCCUCUGUGUCGUACACCAUAAAAAAUGGUGUGUAUCCGGUGGUGCGAUUCGGCGUGGUCCGCAGCCCCCAGAGUACGGAGUCGAGCUCCUCUACCCAGUGCGUGUUAGAUUCCUUGAGGGACCGCACUAAUCUGGGUUUGAUGCCGCUCAUGAUGGGACCAUUUGCACGUUCAACCUGACCGUUAGUUUGUGGGUGAUAGACGAAAGCAUAAUCGGGCUUGAUGCCCAUGUUUUUGCACCAGAGUUUUACCUCAUCGGCCGUAAAGUUCGUGCCGUUAUCGGUGAUGAUGCUGUGGGGGACGCCAUAAUGGUGUACGACCCCGGAUAUAAAGCCUAUCACAGGUCUGGAUUCGGCCGUCUUAACAGGCUUGGCUUCUAUCCAUUUGGUGAACUUAUCCACCAUGACCAGUAAGUAUUUUUUCUUGUGGGUUCCGCCUUUAAGGGGUCCCACCAUGUCAAGCCCCCAGACCGCGAAAGGCCAAGUGAUGGGGAUAGUUUGGAGGGCGGUGGGUGGCAUAUGGCUUUGGUUUGCAAAAAGCUGGCAACCGGCGCAUCGUUGGACCAAGUCCUGAGCGUCUGCCCGGGCCGUCGGCCAAUAAAAGCCUGUACGGAAAGCCUUGCUUACAAGGGACCGAGCUGCGGCGUGAUGGCCACCGAGUCUGGCAUGAAUUUCAGCCAGCAGGUUCCGCCCUUCCUCUUCGGAGAUGCACAUUUGAAGGACUCCGGUAGUGCUUUUCUUAUAAAGUUCUCCCCCGUGGACUUUAUAGGCUUUAGAUCGCCGCACUAUACAACGUGCCUCGUUUUGGUCCUCUGGGAGUUCCUGCCUAGUAAGGUAGGCUAGGAAUGGUUCUGUCCACGGGGCGAUAACGGCCAUUAGUACGUGGGCUGAGGUUGUGAUUUCAUUGGCAGAGCCUCCGAUUAUGUCAGAUUGUUCGGCCGGACAGUGCGGUUGGGUCCGGGCUAAUAUUGCCAUGUUCCCCUUCCCAUACUACGGAUGGCUUGAACAGCCUUUCCAGGAAGAUGUUGGGGGGGGGGGACCGCAUCGCGUUUUGCGCCGAUGCGUGCCAGGACGUCUGCUGCCUGAUUGUUUUCUCGGGCUAUAUGGUGAAAUUCGAGCCCCUCAAACCGAGCUGACAUUUUGAGGACGGCGUUGUGGUAAGCUGCCAUCUUUGGAUCCUUGGCAUCGAAGUCUCCAUUUAUUUGGGAUAUUGCGAGGUUCGAAUCCCCGCACACCUCUAGGCGUUGAAUGCCCAUGGAUACUGCCAUCCGGAGACCAUGUAAAAGGGCCUCAUAUUCGGCUGCAUUGUUGGAGUCCAUGUACAUAAUCUGGAGUACAUAUUGAACUGUGUCUCCUGUGGGGGACGUCAAAACGACGCCGGCCCCUAGUCCGGCCAACAUUUUGGAACCGUCGAAGUGCAUGAUCCAGUUUGAAUAUGUGCCGUACUCUUUAGGGAGUUCGGCCUCCGUCCAUUCUGUGACGAAGUCGGCCAAAACUUGCGACUUGAUAGCUCGCCGUGGCCUAUAAGUUAUGUCGAACGGGAGGAGCUCGAUGGCCCAUUUUGCAAUCCGACCCGUUGCGUCAUGGUUGUUUAUAAUAUCGUUGAGUGGUACUUCAAAUGCUACUGUGAUUGAGCACUCUUGAAAGUAGUGUCGUAGCUUCCGGGAUGCCAUGAAUACCGCAUAUGCAAUCUUUUGAUAAUGUGGGUACCGUGAUUUGCAUGGGGUGAGGACAGUGGACACAUAGUAAACCGGCUUUUGAAGGGGGAAUUUGUGUCCGUCUGUUUCCUGCUCGACGACGAGUACUGCGCUGACAACUUGAUGGGUUGCUGCAAUGUACAAUAGCAUUGGUUCGCCGAUGUUUGGCGCGGCCAGGACGGGGUUUGUUGCCAAUAUGGAUUUUAUUUCCUCGAGUCUGGCCGUGGCAGCAUCCGUCCACUCGAAGUGUUCGGUGCGCCGAAGGAGGCGAUAGAGGGGUAGCGCCUUUUCUCCCAACCGGGAGAUAAAGCGGCUUAGAGCCGCCACGCAUCCGGUUAAUUUUUGUAUUUGUUUGAGGUCCUUUGGGAUAUCCAAUUGUGACAAAGCGCGCUUGUACUGUUUCUUCGGGCUUUUGCCUGAUUUGGGAUAGAUCGCAUAUGUUCGGGUGGGUGGGUGGAAUUAAAUCCGGAACUUCACCCAAUCUAAGACUCAGAGGCCAAGGAGUUUCCGAACUCUGAAGUUUGGAUUCUUGGAUGUUGUCCAGUGAAUCUAGCCCGUUGCCUGAUUCUAAGUUCAGGUCUUGAGUUACAUCCUCCCCUCCGCGGGUAUCCGGCUUGGAGGGAUUAGGAAUCCGGACGUAGCUAGUCCUUAAGAUAGAUGGAGAGUCACCGCACUGUGCCUCUACCACGGCAACGUGAUGGGUGACUUGGGGAGAAUUAAUUUCUCUUAGAUCGGGUUUAAGCCCAACCUGGUCAUAAUCCGUAGUGACCCCCAAGGCGGCGAUGCGAUCCAAGAGCUCGUUUACGGAAGAGAGCUCCAUUGGAUCUAACUGCUCGAUGAGUUCCAAGCUGACGUGAAGAUUGCUUUUGAUGACCCGAGAGGUCACCGUCGGUGCAACGGCCGGACAGGCGGUCAUGAGAAAACCGCCUAGCCGAAGAGUUUGGCCGACAGCCAAGGCUCCCUUAGUAACGGCGUCGUCUUUCAAGACGGGAAGAGGCAUCCUUCCCGAUUGCGACGGCACAGAGGAACUCUCAAUGAAAGCACCAAUGUCGGUGUCAAAACCGGCGGAUCUCGGGUAGGGGGUCCCGAACUGUGCGUCUAGGCCGGAUGGUAACAGGAGGCAAGGAACACAAUGUUUUACCCAGGUUCGGGCCCUCUUGAUGGAGGUAAAACCCUACGUCCUGCUUGAUUAAUAUUGAUGAUAUGGGUAGUACAAGAGUAGAUCUACCACGAGAUCAAGGAGGCUAAACCCUAAAAGCUAGCCUAUGGUAUGAUUGUUGUAUGAUGAAGUUGCCCUACGGACUAAAACCCUCCGGUUUAUAUAGACAGCGGAGAGGGUUAGGGUUACACAAAAUUGGUUACAAUGGUAGGAGAUCUUGAAUAUCCGCAUCGUCAAGCUUGCCUUCCACGCCAAGGAAAGUCCCAUCCGGACACGGGAUGAAGUCUUCAAUCUUGUAUCUUCAUAGUCCUGGAGUCCGGCUGAAGGUAUAGUCCGGCUAUCCGGACACCCCCUAAUCCAGGACUCCCUCAGGCAUCAUGGAUGCCGAUAGCCAACUAUACCUGAAUCCAUCAGAUCAAUUGAAUCAUCACUUUGUCACUAGUCCGUCACUCGCCCAGUACUACAGACGUCGCCAAUCGUCGGGUCGCUGCACGUCUGGUCGCCGUUGCCGAUUGCGUUUGCGUCCAAUGUUCUGACUUCUGCGGUUCUGCCCACUGGUGUCCACAAACGUGCGCUACCAGUCUGAUCAUCGUCACAACAGGCAUCCUCUCCUGAAUAUGCACAAGAAGCUUUGCUAUGUCUGCUUUGCCUAUCAGACAGACAUCUUCGCUCUGCAAAGUAGUUCAGUUCAGUUCACUCUCAGAAAAUGCGAAAUCAUCUACAGAUGCACAAAUAGUUUCGCUUGACAAGCCAACUGGGCAUCCUCUCCCGAAGUAUUUGGUAAAUUAUUACUCAUGUUAUCUAUACUCACACAAACAUUUUAUUCAGUACAUUUCUUAUGUGAUAAGUGAACUCACAAGGGUACAUGUAGUUUUAUCAGUGUGCUUCUUUCUUAUGAGAUAUGAACUCAAGAAUUCUGUGAACAUGAACAACUACGAUUUUCUUCAAUGAUUUGCUAAUUAAAAUACCCCUCCUUGUUUUGAUUCUUAUUUUUAUCUUGCGCAAGUAAACUGAUCUUACCUGGUAUUUCUUACCAGGGUAAUUACUUUGAUCUUUCAGGCUUUUAUAUUGUUCUGGAACUUGCUUUGGUUGCGACAGCACCCAUGCAUUGCAUUGAAGCUGACUGAACUACAGAUGGCUGUUUUGUUCAAAGCAUUAUCUUCCUUUUUCAGUGCAAGAAGCAAUAGGGAGAAGCUACACAAUACAAACUUAGUCCCGAACUUUCCACCAACAAAACAUAUUAUAGAGGUUACCUUGGCAAGCAACAGAUGGCGGUGAUGUUGAGCACCUUGGAUGGCGGGCAUCCUCCUUCAGCUGAUGGGAUCAGAGCAUCUUCUCCUCUCCAUGAAACAUGCACAAAAGCAGAUGGCACACAUCACAUAGGGGAUGAAGAAAACCAGACGAGAGGAGAUAUUCAUACCUCCUGCCUGCUCGGUUUCCAUGGGCAAAGAUCUUCACGAACCUUGCAACAAAGAAUAGAGGGCGCUUCACGAACAGAGCACCAACUCCAAAUCAAAAAUACAGAGAGGGGAGUGAUGGAGAGGGCACCUUGUCCGUGGCGUCGGCACUUGGGUUAGCGCUUCAGAGAGCACCCUAGUCACACGGCUAAAACCUAAAUCGGGG